rnacentral:tRNA from 2 species
GCGCCCGUGGGCGAGGUGAUGAUGCCGAUGCGUUGCGGAUGCGCCGGCAGCGGUUUCUUGCGUUCGGCGCUGAACAGGCCCUC